AGCCACUGAUGACCAUCUAAAUUUUCUGACACCUCGUAUGAGAGCUAUUAUGCUCCUGAUUCUGACUUUGUUCUGAGGCUC